UACGGAGGGUGCAAGCGUUAUCCGGAUUUACUGGGUUUAAAGGGUGCGCAGGCGGAUAUGUAAGUCAGUGGUGAAAUCUCCGGGCUUAACUCGGAAACUGCCAUUGAUACUAUCUGUCUUGAAUACCGUGGAGGUUAGCGGAAUAUGUCAUGUAGCGGUGAAAUGCUUAGAUAUGACAUAGAACACCAAUUGCGAAGGCAGCUGGCUACACGAAUAUUGACACUGAUGCACGAAAGCGUGGGGAUCAAACAGG
rnacentral:rRNA from 1 species